AAUUCAGCUGGUCGCUACUCGUCUGAUCUGAGGUCG
rnacentral:rRNA from 1 species